rfam:Geobacillus caldoxylosilyticus NBRC 107762 DNA, contig: GCA01S033.
AGGGCAGUAUCUUUCGCGAAAGAACUGCACCGUGCAUCAAGGGAAACAACAAAAAAUGCGAUCUGCCUUGAUCCUUAGAAGGACUGGGACAGAGGG